rnacentral:rRNA from 1 species
AGAGUUUGAUCAUGGCUCAGAACGUACGCUGGCGGCACGCCUUAUACAUGCAAGUCGAACGAAGUAGCAAUACUUAGUGGCAGACGGGUGAGUAACAUGUAGGUAUCUUCCCUUUGGUGAGGAAUAACACGAGGAAACUUGUGCUAAUACCUCAUAAGUCUUUACAGAGAAAGCUUUAUGCGCCGAAGGAUGAGCCUGCAUUUGAUUAGUUUGUUGGUGGGGUAAUGGCUCACCAAGACUUUGAUCAAUAGCUGAUCUGAGAGGAUGAUCAGCCACAUUGGGACUGAGACACGGCCCAAACUCCUACGGGAGGCAGCAGUAGGGAAUAUUGCACAAUGGAGGAAACUCUGAUGCAGCGAUGCCGCGUGAGUGAAGAAGGCCUUUGGGUUGUAAAGCUCUUUCGUCGGGGAAGAAAAUGACUGUACCCGAAUAAGAAGGUCCGGCUAACUUCGUGCCAGCAGCCGCGGUAAUACGAAGGGACCUAGCGUAGUUCGGAAUUACUGGGCUUAAAGAGUUCGUAGGUGGUUAAAAAAGUUGGUGGUGAAAUCCCAGAGCUUAACUCUGGAACUGCCAUCAAAACUUUUUAGCUAGAGUAUGAUAGAGGAAAGCAGAAUUUCUAGUGUAGAGGUGAAAUUCGUAGAUAUUAGAAAGAAUACCAAUUGCGAAGGCAGCUUUCUGGAUCAUUACUGACACUGAGGAACGAAAGCAUGGGUAGCGAAGAGGAUUAGAUACCCUCGUAGUCCAUGCCGUAAACGAUGUGUGUUAGACGUUGGAAAUUUAUUUUCAGUGUCGCAGCGAAAGCAUUAAACACACCGCCUGGGGAGUACGACCGCAAGGUUAAAACUCAAAGGAAUUGACGGGGGCCCGCACAAGCGGUGGAGCAUGUGGUUUAAUUCGACGCAACGCGAAGAACCUUACCAGGUCUUGACAUCCUGAUUUUGGUUGUUAGAAAUAACUUCCUUCAGUUCGGCUGGAUCAGUGACAGGUGCUGCAUGGCUGUCGUCAGCUCGUGUCGUGAGAUGUUGGGUUAAGUCCCGCAACGAGCGCAACCCUUAUCUUUAGUUGCCAUCAGGUCAAGCUGGGCACUCUAAAGAAACUGCCGGUGAUAAGCCGGAGGAAGGCGGGGAUGACGUCAAGUCCUCAUGGCCCUUAUGACCUGGGCUACACACGUGCUACAAUGGCAGUGACAAUGAGCAGCGAUAGCGCGAGCUUUAGCUAACCUCAAAAAUCUGUCUCAGUUCGGAUUGAACUCUGCAACUCGAGUUCAUGAAGUUGGAAUCGCUAGUAAUCGUAGAUCAGCAUGCUACGGUGAAUACGUUCCCGGGCCUUGUACACACCGCCCGUCACACCAUGGAAGUUGGUUUUACCCAAAGACGACGCGCUAACCGCAAGGAGGCAGUCGGCCACGGUAAGGUCAGCGACUGGGGUGAAGUCGUAACAAGGUAGCCGUA